UGUCAAUAGGCUAGGGUUACCUUUACUACUUUUGGAUGAUUUUAACUACAUUUUACACCUGGAAGAUAAGAAAGGGGGAAGACAGUUUAGGGUAAGCCAUAACAUCUGUGAAUUUAGAGCAUUCCUACAAUCUACCAGUUUGAUUGAUUUAGCGUUUCAAGGAUCAACUUAUACCUGGUGUAACAACCAAAUGGAAUUAGCUCGGUUGUGGGAGAGAUUGGAUCGGAUCUUUCUCUUUCUAUCUGACCACUGACUGGAUCUCUUUCCAGAAUCAAAGGUGCUCCACUUAGCCCGAUAUGCAUCAGAUCAUUGUCUCAUCCCGCUAUCCAUUCUAGACUACAAGCCAUGGGCCCUAGCCAUUUCAUUUUGAGAAGUUCUACGUGUUGUGAAGCCACAUAUAUACGAGGUGAUUCAUUAAGCAUAGAAAUGCAAAGGCAGCCACUCCUUAGGGAUAAGGCUGUGGCUAAUGCUCCGGAACACACAGACGGCACUCCGAAGAAGAAAUUGAAGGCAUAUAGAGAAUAUAUUUAGAAAGGGGGAACACUUAUAUGGAAUGCUUCUACAGUUACAAGCAAAAGAGUUCCAACUAGGGGACCUAACACAACAGGAUCAUAUGCAGCUGUAUAUUAGGAACACUCUGAGCCUAUUAUCAAAACUUGCAGUGCCAAAAGGCAUUUCAGAGGCAGAAGUCAUGCAUGCUCUAGUGCAACGAAGGCAACACUAAAGGUGGCAACACCAAUCCACCAUUAUAAGGCCGCGUCAGAAUCUCGUUGCCAUGCUUCAGGAUCCAUAGGGGCAUCGGGAGGAAGGGGAGCAAGCCAUUAGGGACAUGUUGAAUUGGCACACUUCCAGCAAAGGUGGCGACACCAACAACAUGACCCCUGCUCAUGGCCACCUCCUCUUACAACCCAAGUCACUAUGCAACAAAAUGAUCAGCUCCUAGCAGCAGUAACGGAGGACGAAAUUAAGCAAGCAAUCAAAGGUGGCUAAAGCAAUGAAGAGAGACUCUCUAUGCAUGAAACCGCUACUAGAGUUCUACUACACAGUAUCUGAUCAAGCUAUUCAAAGAUAUAUUGAUGUAGAAACGGGCUUGCUAUGCAUCUUGAGCAACGCAUAUUUGUGGGGAGGGCAAUCAAUUACCCAACUGGUUAGCUGCUGAACCUAUCGAAGGACCUAUGCAAAUCAAAAGGUGCAUCAUCCAAGGAAAGACAGUGCAAGCUGUACGAGCAGCGGCUGGAUGCACGGAGGGAGAUUGCUUUUUUUUUUUUUUUAAUCAAGCCGAUACUGGGCUGUUGUCGAGGCUCUCUCCAGAUUGGGCUUCUCUUGGAUCAAUUUCUCAUGGUAUUGCGUCAAAUAACAGUGAGUCACGUACUAUUAUUCUCUUGUCAGUCAACUUCUUGUGACAUGGCCUAAUAGAUGGGCAAGCAUUGCGUUAUUUAUGAAACACUCUGCAGCUAAGUCCAACCAUCCUUCUAUGAUACUGAGAUCUUCUGAACUAGAUAUGAGAUCCUAUGACGUCAAAUGCCUCAGCCCAAGGCAGAGCACUCCCUCUCACAGUCUCACCUCAUCUUCGCUGCUACUAAACAAAAGCAUUAUAGAGAAAGCAAUUAAAUAAGGGAGUAAUGUGGCGAUAGCAUCGUUACCAUCGGUACUUCCUUCUGAAGCAUGGAGCACCUCAGCGGUCAAGAUUCCUCCUCUUCUCUCUAGACUCUGCUCGUCUUUUGCACCCAUGUGCACUUCAUGUUCUCCCCACACGGCACGGAGUCACGGACACCUCCACUUUCUCUGCAUUCUACAAGAGUCCCCAGCAAAAAAAA